rnacentral:lncRNA from 1 species
AUUUUUAUUUAUUUUUCUCUUCCUUCCCCUUCCCGUUCUCCCCUCCUCCCUUCCUCACCUGCACCCCCCUUCGUUCUUCCCUCUGUUUCUUUUUGUAUGUAUAUGUCAUCAGCAGCACCAUUAGUUCAUUAGAACACAACAAGACUCUUAGAAUUGAAUGAACACUACAAGAUUUUUAAUGGUAUUCUUCGGUAACCGAAGGAAUUUUCUGGCAAUAACAGUGGAAUUGUUGGUGGUAAGGAGAAGAGGUGGUGGUGUAAGAAAAAAAAUGAAGAUAAAGUCAAUAGUCUAUUUUCCUAUAUGGCUUAGUAAUGAUGUGGCAUCCUACGUGUAGGAGAUUGUAUAAAACUCAUAGUAGUCUUCUAUCAUAAGCGUUUAUUAUACAUAAUUUGAACGAGUGUAAGUGUUCAAUUGGCAAAAUGCUAGUUUGGGGGCCGGCAUGACAAAG